GCGAAAAUAGCUCAGCUGGUAGAGCACAACCUUGCCAAGGUUGGGGUCGCGGGUUCGAAUCCCGUUUUUCGCUCCACACC
rnacentral:tRNA from 1 species